rnacentral:rRNA from 1 species
UGGGGAAUAUUGCGCAAUGGGGGGAACCCUGACGCAGCCAUGCCGCGUGAAUGAAGAAGGCCUUAGGGUUGUAAAGUUCUUUCGGUAUUGAGGAAGGUUGAUGUGUUAAUAGCACAUCAAAUUGACGUUAAAUACAGAAGAAGCACCGGCUAACUCCGUGCCAGCAGCCGCGGUAAUACGGAGGGUGCGAGCGUUAAUCGGAAUAACUGGGCGUAAAGGGCACGCAGGCGGUUAUUUAAGUGAGGUGUGAAAGCCCCGGGCUUAACCUGGGAAUUGCAUUUCAGACUGGGUAACUAGAGUACUUUAGGGAGGGGUAGAAUUCCACGUGUAGCGGUGAAAUGCGUAGAGAUGUGGAGGAAUACCGAAGGCGAAGGCAGCCUCUUGGGAAUGUACUGACGCUCAUGUGCGAAAGCGUGGGGAGCAAACAGGAUUAGAUACCCUGGUAGUCCACGCUGUAAACGCUGUCGAUUUGGGGGUUGGGGUUUAACUCUGGCGCCCGUAGCUAACGUGAUAAAUCGACCGCCUGGGGAGUACGGCCGCAAGGUUA